AUUGAACGCUGGCGGCAGGCCUAACACAUGCAAGUCGAACGGUAGCACAGAGAGCUUGCUCUCGGGUGACGAGUGGCGGACGGGUGAGUAACGUCUGGGAAACUGCCCGAUGGAGGGGGAUAACUACUGGAAACGGUAGCUAAUACCGCAUAACGUCGCAAGACCAAAGUGGGGGACCUUCGGGCCUCACACCACCGGAUGUGCCCAGAUGGGAUUAGCAAGUAGGUGGGGUAAUGGCUCACCUAGGCGACGAUCCCUAGCUGGUCUGAGAGGAUGACCAGCCACACUGGAACUGAGACACGGUCCAGACUCCUACGGGAGGCAGCAGUGGGGAAUAUUGGACAAUGGGCGCAAGCCUGAUGCAGCCAUGCCGCGUGUAUGAAGAAGGCCUUCGGGUUGUAAAGUACUUUCAGCGGGGAGGAAGGCGGUGAGGUUAAUAACCUCGCCGAUUGACGUUACCCGCAGAAGAAGCACCGGCUAACUCCGUGCCAGCCGCCGCAGUAA
rnacentral:rRNA from 1 species